GAACGGGAAAGUGGAGCAAUCCAUGAGUAUAGUGGCGACCGGGUGAGUAACACGUGACUAACCUGCCCUUGAGUGGGGGAUAACCUCGGGAAACCGGGGCUAAUACCGCAUAACAUCUUCAGGAUGAGAAGCUGGAGAUCAAAGGAGCAAUCCGCUUAUGGAGGGGGUCGCGGCUGAUUAGCUAGUUGGCGGGGUAACGGCCCACCAAGGCGAUGAUCGGUAUCCGGCCUGAGAGGGCGCACGGACACACUGGAACUGAAACACGGUCCAGACUCCUACGGGAGGCAGCAGUGGGGAAUUUUGCGCAAUGGGGGAAACCCUGACGCAGCAACGCCGCGUGGAGGAUGAAGUCCCUUGGGACGUAAACUCCUUUCGACCGGGACGAUUAUGACGGUACCGGUGGAAGAAGCCCCGGCUAACUUCGUG
rnacentral:rRNA from 1 species